GCUGGGGUCGCAUAGCCCGGUCAGUGCGGCAGGUUGCUAACCUGUUGUGGCUUCGCCACACGAGAGUUCAAAUCUCUCCCCCGGCG
rnacentral:tRNA from 2 species